rnacentral:rRNA from 1 species
GACGAACGCUGGCGGCGUGCCUAAUACAUGCGAGUAGAACGCUGAAGGGGGAGCUUGCUCUUCUGGAUGAGUUGCGAACGGGUGAGUAACGCGUAUGUAACCUGCUUGGUAGCGGGGGAUAACUAUUGGAAACGAUAGCUAAUACCGCAUAAUAGUAGAUGUUGCAUGAUAUUUACUUAAAAGGUGCAAUUGUACCACUACCAGAUGGACCUGCGUUGUAUUAGCUAGUUGGUGGUGUAACGGCUCACCAAGGCGACGAUACAUAGCCGACCCGGGAGGGGGGUCGGCCACAAUGGGACUGAGAAACCGCUCAGACUCCUACGGGAGGCAGCAGUAGGGAAUCUUCGGCAAUGGACGAAAGUCCGACCGAGCAACGCCGCGUGAGUGAAGAAGGUUUUCCGAUCGUAAAGCUCUGUUGUAAGGGAAGAACGAGUGGGAGAGUGGAAAGUUCACACUGUGACGGUACCUUACCAGAAAGGGACGGCUAACUACGUG